GGAGCGCCAGCGCCUGCCUGCGGGCAGGACGACGAGGAGGAGAGAGUAUCGAAGAUUCGGCGGAUGCUCUCCCGUACCGCCUCCGGGUGCGUCAGGCAGUUCACAAAUAUGCGGGCGACCGCAAAACAAAGAGGC
rnacentral:ncRNA from 1 species